rnacentral:lncRNA from 1 species
UGCAAUCCCUCUCCCCCUGAACCAAUUUCACAUUGGGAAUGCAGGACCUAGACUGCUGAAUAAAAAGCUACUUCUUCUAUAAUUGUCAGGUUCUCUCCAAUUUCUCAGCUUCCUCAAAGACAUGGGGUGGAGUUGGGUGUGCCAUCACUGAGAGAGCUCUGGAACUUUUGACUCUUAGUGACAUUUUUAGAUUUAGGGGUUCAUGGCCUUCCACAUGUUGCCACCAACUGGUGAUCUCUGCCCCUUCAUGCUGAUCAAGAAAGUAGAAACUCCUCGUCGCCUUCAGGUUUGCAGUCGCAGAAACAUUGCCUGCUGUGGACUGUCAGCACAAAACUGGGACACUGGUGUCAUUUAGACUGUCAGCAGUGCACAUGAUUGUACGAUAGACUCCAGGCAACCAUGUGCAUCUGUGCAAGAUGACCUCUGCCCCAAGAGAAGGGUUACGGUCUAAUUAAAUGUUUACCAAGAUGGUACCAGUGGGCUCUCCCCGUGUCCUUUGGUGUUAUUGGAGCUGGUGUAUGACAGACUCAAGGAAAUUUUUUAAGGAAAAUGAAGAAGAAAUCAACCUUUAUGGUUCUCUUUCAUUGGAAGAGGAGAAUAAGGAAAGAAAUGGCAGGUAGAGAGGGAGGGGGAAAGGAAUAGAAAUGGCAUGUCUUUGAUGCUGUGGCUUGUGUGGGGACAAUGGGAAGAGCACAGCAGGCACAACAUAUCUGUGUUAGUGCCACGUGGUAUCUGUUAAGUAUGGCCAGAGCCUCACAUAUAAGUGAAGAGAGUUAAGACAAUUCUUGCUCUUUGAACAAUAAUAGUCUAUAGAAUUUCUAUUGGCAAACCAUCCCAGACAACCUGACCUAUCAAACAAAAGCAAAUAAUCCCUGUCUCAGAACUGCUGGUCUAAAAGCUAGAAGGGGCAUGAUAAUGGAAAUUGCUAGAAAAGAGAGAAUGCUCUACUCUCUUUCCUGUGCCUACCUACCCCCAUCCUAAACCCUGUAAAACAGAAUUUCAAAAUAGAUGUCAAAUAUGAAGUAAUUCAGACUUCCAAAGAAGGAAAGAGUUCUGCCCAGGGCAGUAUGAGCAAAUCCACAGGGAUGUUAAGAUUUGGUCCAACUCAAAGGUUUAUGGGCAGUGAGCCUAGAGUCUCUUGAGAGUAAACCCUUGCAUUUGGGACAAGGAGAAUAUGUGAAGUUCAGGAGUGCUCACACUAGAGCAAGAUCCAGAAAAAAAAAAAUCCAAUGGCAUUUUAAACUAGAUUGCAUUAUCACUCAAUGCUGUUACUUUGAGCAGACAAAUCAGUUGAAUGGGAGGGCAAAUGGCAGAAAUGAACAAAAGCUAUUAGGUGAAAGCAUCCCCAAUGUAUCAGUUGUGAGAUGAUUUUUGUUUAAUGAUGAUCAGGUUUACAUUGAAGUGGCUUGGAAGACGUAUUUCAGAGGGACUGGGUUUGUACUGCAAAACUCUGAACACUAGAGCAGGUUCUACUAGCACUUGGGCAGUAAGGUAGCGGGUGUGUAUUAUGCUAUUGCCAUAGUUCUCGUCUUUGUGGAUUCACAUACCCUUUCCCAUGAGGAGCUUGCUACUAACAGCCUCCUGUUUCUGUUGUUUUUAUAUGGGAGAAGAGAAAGAGCUUGGAAUUUCAAUUGUCUAAACAAUUGGUAUGAUUUACAAGAAGGCAAACCAUUCAGGAGAUGUUCAACAGUGUAUCAUUCUUAGCAUUCAAUACAAUGUUUAUUAUAAAAUAUACACCUGAGUUUAUGUUUUUCUGCCAGGCUGAAGGGCAAUAAUGUCUUGCUAUGCAAACACUCUAUUUUAUGUGUGAAUUUUUUUAACUGUAAUUUUAUGUGUGAAUUUUUUUAACUAAACUCUAUCAUCAUUUUCUAUGUUGACAUCUUUUUUUUUUUUUUAAUCUGUUUCCAACUCUGAGUCUGUGAACUAUCUCUUCUGACUGGAUGCUGGCCUAAAAUCCUAUUAGUGCUUAAACAGACCUCAAAACACUCUGAACCUGUAGGCCAAUACAGAGAUGUUGUUCUUUGAUAUAUCUUGGGUCCUUGAUGGCUUCAACAAACAAGGUCAUAAUUUGUUUAAAUUCAGUGUUUUCUGUAGAUACCUUCUUCUCAGUUUCAUUAAGAAGAGUAACCAUCUUUGGUUUUCCAAAGAAUGGAAACUCCUACCCUAGACUUUAGACUUAGAGCGUCUGCCUUUCACGAUGAGUAAGAGAUCCAGAAUGUUUAGGGGAUGUGCGUCAGCCCACCUGGUACAGUGGCAAAGCUGAAUGCGAACUUGAGGCCUCCUGAGGCCUGACCUUCUAUGCCCCCAGCCCUCCACCCCAAGCACCUUUUGGUGUGGCUGGAAACACAUGACAUUGGAUGUGAUUUUUCUCAAGCCCUUCACUGUGGAAGGCAUGGGAGACUGCCCAGCAUUGGGCAUGUGGCUGUUAACGUUUCCAUUUCAAGUCCCUGAUUCUUACUGGAGAAGUUAAGGAGCCACUUAAUGUUUUCACAGACCUCUGAUUCUGUUGUGAAUGUGGCAUUCCAGUGAGUACAACCUGCUUGCUAUAAAGAAAGCAGCAUAUUUUGACAAUUUUAUUUCUUCCUUGGGUACUUACAUUUUUAUUACAAAAAUGGCCGUUAUAAAAAAAGACAGAAGGGCUGGGCAGUGGCUUGCUCCCUAGAAACUGAGAUUCCGAAGCAGGUGUUUCCUCUCCCCUAGACUCAGAGGUACAUUUAAUCCAUCUUCUCCAUUUCCUCCUUCAGGACCAGCUAUGAGAUUCAGUGCAUUUCUAGCCCAGCGGAUGUUCAUUCUCCACUAAACUUCAUCUUUUACUAAGCAAAGGGGGAUUAUUCCAUGAGGCAGCCAGGAGCAAGGGGCCAUGAUAUUCAUGACUUUGUCUGCUGGGCAUUUUUCAAAGUGUCCUUGAAUUCACUCAGCAAACAAAGCUUUCUGGAGAAUCUCUCAAAACUUAGGCCCUGCUCCAUUUGGCCAAAAAUGAUGGCUGCUCCAAAACUCUGAACUUCUUAAAACUCCAUCUGCUACAUUAUUUCUGGAGUUUAAACAUGACUUUUUCUGUCUUUGAGUAUAGAUGUGUUUGUUUAAUUAACGAAGCACAAGUCUGUUAAGCAGAAGGCUCCAAGCUGUAUUCUAUACUUGGGAAUCCUUGGUGCCAUCUUUAUUCUACCAAGUGCCAAUCACCAUGGCUAAAGUGGGCGUAUAUUACAGCCUGUGUCCUAAGCUUAGAAGCUUUAAUGUACUUUUUUAAAUGAAAAGUAUUAGAGGGGGUUGAACAUUGUAACUAAAGCAUAAAGUUAGACCAAUUACAUGCAGAGAUGUUUAUUUAAUAUUGUGUGAGCUGAGUCCUUCUGUAUAAAUUAUUUGCACACUUUUCUUGCAUGAUGAACUGAUUUUUUAUAGUUGUUUGUACCAGACGGUGGCAUAUUUUUGUAAAAAACUUUUGACACUGAAUUGCAAUAAAUGUUUUUCCAACAAC